UGGAUCACCGUGGUCCUUGCGGCUCCCGGGCGUGGCCGUUUACAACCCGCCUCGCACCUGCUAGAGGUCCGAUCCAACAAUGUCUCCAAAUGGGGUGUCAGGGUUGAAGAUGGCCUGCAGCACUGCCUGAUCAUUUGGAGUCCCCAUGGUGCUCAACUCCAAAAUCCCGAAAGAAAAGACCCCGGCCAUGGAUGGGAGACCUAGGGCAAAGACGGAAAAGAGUGCUUGGCACCAGACAGCUGCUCAAUGAGGAACACAACUGCAUCAUGGAGAAUCCCCAGCAUCCUCAAACCGUUAACACCUAGAAGAAUCAGAAGCACCAGGGCAGUGAGGAGCGCAGUCAACAGGAAACAGCACGGUCCUACAGAAAUGCCUAUACUACAGUCACUCUGCCAGAGGCUGCUCCAGGGUGAAUUAUAGUAC
rnacentral:antisense_RNA from 1 species